GACCGGACAGCUUUUAUUACUCACCGAAGCCUCUGCCCAAGCCAACGGCCCACGUGGUACCUAUAAGCGGCAGAAGUAUUUAUACAAAUGCUGAACUGAGAGAAACAGAGUCCUAGAGCUCAAGGCAGCCCUCACCUCUAACGGGAGCCGCCUGCUGGUCCACUCCACCUUAGCUUUGUUCACGGUCUUCGAAGGAAGAGAACAGCCAGGAGCCCUCCUCCCACACGGGAUGUGACAGAAGUGAGUUUUGCUGGUCCCAGAGCUUGAAGUGACAUCAUUUCUGUCUUUAAUCUCUUGGCUGCCUGCCUUCAGAGUGCCAUACCAUGCUGAAGUCUCAAACAAAAAGCCCGUCUGAAAAAGAGAAGCCCAGCCCAGCCUGAUAGCCUUGUCAGAUCAGCACUAGCCGAUUGACUCAUCAGAUGAAUGCGUCUACGUCAAUGAACCCAGCUGAAAGGCAGAGGGCUGCACGGACUGCGCAUAGAAUUGUAGAACAUGAUAAACUGCUUUUGCUUUCAGCAGUUGCCUCCCAUGGUAUUCUACACUACAACAAAGACUGGCUGAAAGAGAAACUGACAGCUCGUAGAGAAGAGGUUCUCAACCCUCCUGAGCCUGCAACCCUUUAAUACAGUUCCUCCGUCGUGAUGAUGCCCCCAACCAUAAAAUUACUUUUAUUGCUACUUCAUAAUCAUAUCUAUACUGUUGUUAUGACUUGUAAUAUAAAUAGUUUUAGAGCUGCCA
rnacentral:sRNA from 1 species